UUGGAUGAAUAAAUGAAUGACAAGUUCUUCCACAUACAGCGCCACCAAGACAACAAAACCAAAACCCAUGAACAACAUCUACUGAAGAAAACUAAGUAAAGGUAGCCCCAUAAACUCCAAACCAUUAAAUAUUUAAGAGCUACCAAAUCUAUGCAGCAUCUGUGUAGGAAAAAGCACAAGGAAACUCUGGGUUAUUGAAUGGAUUGACUUGAGGACAGAAGAAUCCCUAAAUCCUGACUCUGACCAGGAAACGGGGCAGGUCAACUUGAAACAAUUGAAUAUGCAACAGACUUUUUUACUAAUUCUUGGAUGAU
rnacentral:lncRNA from 12 species